UUACCUGUUCAAUGCCAGGAAUUAUGGACCUUGUGGUUCACGUUUUCCUCUGUAACAGGGGCAUCUUCCUCACCUCCCCAUUGGCUACCCCAGAAUUCUGACAAAACAUCUACCAUGUUGCUAUAAGUCACUUGGCCUUCCAUGAUGUUCACAGUUCCAGGGAGUCUCAAGCCAAGUGCUCCCCGGAGCACACAAUGAGAACUGCUUUUGAAGCGCAGAGAGAGCUGAGAUGAGAGGCGACUCGGGGGGCUCUUGAGCCAGGAGUGUGGCCUCGAGGGGGUGGGGAUGGGGUGCCACCAGCAGGGCUGACCACGCCCAGGGACGUCCUCAUGAUUGGCUCCUACUCAGCCGUUAGGCCAGCUGCCAGGCAUCAGCCGGGCGUCUUGUCAGAGAUGGGUUCCCAGAACCCUGCUAAGGAAGCAGCCAUGAUGCUGGACGGGGGUGUGGGGGUGUCUCUCCCUGCUGCCGGGGCCCAGCGCAGGUGGUGGUGAUAGGAUGCCCACACCCCUCCUCCCCACGCCCCCGAAGCCUCUCACUGCAACAGGCAUCUCUGUGGAUUUCUGAGAACCAGAGGUCUUGGCCUGUCACACCAAUAAGGGCCACUUCCUCCUGUUGGCACUUGGAUUCGGCUGGACUGAUCUAGAGUGAUGACACUGGGGCUCGGGGUGGACAUGGGAUGAGGGGACGUGCUAGGCAGGCCUCCCGCACGGCCCCCAGUUUCAGGGUUUCAUCCAUGGGGGACACGCUUUCCUGACUCUGACUGACCGCAGCCCUGCUCCACCAUUGGGACACUUCAUUCCUGUCCCCACACUAAAGGCAGCGAAGAUGGGGCUGGAUUCCACUCCACCCUCACAGCAGUCUGUCUCCAAUUCUGAGUUCUCAAUCAGAACGUGGUGUCGGCCUUCCACGGAAACGGUGGUCCGCAGCUCUUCUUUGUUACUUCCAGCCACUCUGAGAGAACUGUCUGGCUCUCCACUUUAUAUUUAAUCUACACUUGAACUUCAGUCCCUGAGACUCAUGAGAUCUAAGAGCUGAUGUGCCAUUUCGUACCACCCAGAAGUUUAAGCGGGGGUGUCUGCCCAGCAACAAGACCUGAGAGAGGGUGGGGACACAUUCUACACAGAGAAAUGGCAAGAACAGAAUCAGAGAAUGGUGAAAAUGUGCAAGAAGAAUGCCAGUGGUUCUGCAGAGCGAGCCUGGACCUUACGGGGCAGAAGUGGAGAUGGAAUUCUAGGCAAAACCCAGGGAAUAUUGAGCAUCGCUGGGCGCUCGAACAAGAUGGAGGGAAAUGGAGAACAAGUAACAUGCUCACGGGCUUCAUGACCCACAGUGCAGAGUGGGUACACUGGACUGAACUGUCUCCCUCACACCCCUCUCUCCAGCCACUCAACUCCUCGCCCUGGAAACUAUCUCAUCUGCUUCUCAGGUCGCCUUUCUGAUAUGCCCAUGGUUUACACAGUAUAUAUGUAUGCAGUUUCCCCUGCAACCUUCUUUAUUAAAACAGACGGUAGGACAUAAAACAUACUUUUGAUUCUUUCACCCUG